rnacentral:rRNA from 1 species
CCUACGGGUGGCAGCAGUGAGGAAUAUUGGUCAAUGGCCGGAAGGCUGAACCAGCCAUGCCGCGUGAAGGUCAGUGCCCUAUGGGCGUUAAACUUCUUUUGUGCGGGAGCAAUAAUGGUCACGUGUGGCCAGACGAGAGUACCGUACGAAUAAGCAUCGGCUAACUCCGUGCCAGCAGCCGCGGUAAUACGGGGGAUGCAAGCGUUUUCCGGAUUUAUUGGGUUUAAAGGGUGCGUAAGCUGGGAGGUAAGUCAGCGGUGAAAUGCCCGCGCUCAACGGGGUGAAGUGCCAUUGAUACUGCCAUGCUGGAAUGCAGAUGACGUGGGAGGAAUGUGUGGUGUAGCGGUGAAAUGCAUAGAUAUCACACAGAACACCGAUUGCGAAGGCAUCUCACGAAUCCGCGAUUGACGCUGAUGCACGAAAGCGUGGGUAUCAAACAGGAUUAGAUACCCUUGUAGUC